UACGAAGGGGGCUAGCGUUGCUCGGAAUUACUGGGCGUAAAGGGCGCGUAGGCGGCGCGGGCAGUCAACGGUGAAAGCUUGGGGCUCAACCCCGAGUCGGCCGUCGAUACUCCCGUGCUUGAGCACUGUAGAGGCAGGUGGAAUUCCGGGUGUAGCGGUGGAAUGCGUAGAGAUCCGGAAGAACACCGGUGGCGAAGGCGGCCUGCUGGGCAGUAGCUGACGCUGAUGCGCGACAGCGUGGGGAGCAAACAGG
rnacentral:rRNA from 1 species